AGUGAACGCUGGCGGCGUGCCUAAUACAUGCAAGUCGAACGGAGUGGCGCACGGGUGAGUAAUGUAUAGCUAAUUUGCCCUACAUUAGAGGACAACAGUUGGAAACGGCUGCUAAUUCUCUAUAGUGUAGGAUGAGGCUGUAUUGUAUCAGCUAUUUGGUGAGGUAAUGGCUCACCAAGGCUAUGACGCAUAACUGGUCUGAGAGGAUGAUCAGUCACACUGUAGAUGAGGCACGGUUCAGACUCCUACGGGAGGCAGCAGUAGGGAAUAUGGCUCAAUGGGGGAAGCCCUGAAGCAGCAACGCCGCGUGGAGGAGGACACUUUUCGGAGCGUAAACUCCGUUUGUUAGGGAAGCGGUACCUAACGAAUAAGCACCGGCUAACUCCGUGCCAGCAGCCGCGGUAAUUC
rnacentral:rRNA from 1 species